GACAGAGGGUGCAAACGUUGUUCGGAAUUACUGGGCGUAAAGCGCGUGUAGGCGGCCCCGCAAGUCGGAUGUGAAAUCCCACGGCUCAACCGUGGAAGUGCAUUCGAAACUGCAGGGCUAGAGUCCUGGAGAGGAAGGUGGAAUGCUUGGUGUAGAGGUGAAAUUCGUAGAUAUCAAGCGGAACACCGGUGGCGAAGGCGGCCUUCUGGACAGUGACUGACGCUGAGACGCGAAAGCGUGGGGAGCAAACAGG
rnacentral:rRNA from 1 species